rnacentral:rRNA from 1 species
CAGCCGCCGCGGUAAUACGUAGGGUGCAAGCGUUAAUCGGAAUUACUGGGCGUAAAGCGUGCGCAGGCGGUUAUAUAAGACAGAUGUGAAAUCCCCGGGCUCAACCUGGGAACUGCAUUUGUGACUGUAUAGCUAGAGUACGGCAGAGGGGGAUGGAAUUCCGCGUGUAGCAGUGAAAUGCGUAGAUAUGCGGAGGAACACCGAUGCGAAGGCAAUCCCCUGGGCCUGUACUGACGCUCAUGCACGAAAGCGUGGGGAGCAAACAGGAUUAGAUACCCCCGUAGUCCCUGUCUCUUAUACA